UUUCCGUAGGUGAACCUGCGGAAGGAUCAUUAUUGAAAUGUUUUGGGGAACUACUGUUGCUGGCCUUUUGUAACAAAAAGGCAUGUGCACGUAUUCUCUAAUCUAUUCAUCCACCUGUGCAUCUUUUGUAGGGGUUCUUUUGGAUUGAUCGGUAGAUUUUCUCUACUGUUGAUUUGAAGGGAUUUCCUAUGUCUUAUAAACAAGUCAAGUAUGUUAUUGAAUGUCAUUUACUGGGGACUUUAUUGGACCCUUUAAAACUUUGUACAACUUUCAGCAACGGAUCUCUUGGCUCUCCCAUCGAUGAAGAACGCAGCGAAAUGCGAUAAGUAAUGUGAAUUGCAGAAUUCAGUGAAUCAUCGAAUCUUUGAACGCACCUUGCGCCCUCUGGUAUUCCGGAGGGCAUGCCUGUUUGAGUGUCAUUAUAUUCUCAACUUCAAUAGUUUCUUUAUUGUUGAAGUAUGGAUGUGGAGGCCUUUGCUGGCAUCACUUAGAUGUUCAGCUCCUCUUAAAUACAUUAGUGGAAUUCCCAUUUCGUUGGGCUAUUCUUGGUGUGAUAAUUAUCUACACUUUGGAUCAGUUCUAACAAGCUCUCAGUAGUCAGUGUACUUUUAUAGUAUAUUGGUUUUGGGUAAAUGCAUUUGCUUGCUUUAUCUGGUUUACUAGAGUUAAAGGGAAACUAGACCGCUUUCAAACCGUCUGUAUAUGCGGACAAUUUUGACUAU
rnacentral:sRNA from 2 species